UCUCUGUGGUGCUCCAUGACUUUCCUGGUUCUAUUCAAGAGGCUACAGAAGAACCGGAAGAAAUGUCCCGGUGGGAAGAACCGGUAGGUGAGACUCCACAUGAUUUCAUUUCUCUUCUCCGGUGUGCACUCUCAGAGGCUGGCUCUGUUCAGGUUCCAAGAACACGUCUCCAGGUGCUGUCUUUGAACUUUGACGUGUUCUGCUAAGGGGUGGAUAGAAGAACAUAAAUAAACUGACAAAGGUGAUGAAAGAUUAAGAGAUAUUAAGCUAAAGAUCGUGGAUAAUGUCAUCGUCACAUGCCAUCUGACAGCCAUAAGAGGCUCCAACAAACCAUCAAAGCAGAAGAAUACACGCAUGCCAUCUCUCAGUAUUCCAUCCAAGUAAGGCGCACCUAAAAGAAGGCCAGGAAGAGGCAGAUGAAGCCCAAGCUCGGGCUCUAUAAGAAGGACAGCAAAAGGCAGCAGCAUCCUUCAUCAGCAGAAAGAAGGUGGAGGAGUAGAGGAAGUCCGAGUAAAACCUCCCAUAGGAAGGCCUUUUGCUCAAGUGAGUAUUCCAUCCAGAGCCUCGUGUGCCAUGAUGGCGGGUGGGGUUGCAGGUGAAAUGCUCACUUGGGCAAGAUGCAUUCCAUGGAAGGGUUCCCAGCACAGGCAGCUUCUUUCUCUUCCCUUCCCAAGCUAGGCUCGUUGCUGGUUUCCUGGUUGACGUGUUUCGUAUCUGAUGACUCUUCUAGUGCUUUUGGAUUGCAGGAGAACUUUCUCAUGGUCUGUCUUCUUGCUCAAGUAGACACCGAAUGAUGCACUGAAAGUGAGAGCAUCUCUGGGUUCAUGUUCUGAUCUACAUGUUUCAUGUCUCUCUGGAUUCCUCUCUUUAUCCCUUGUGUAUGUUUGAUUCCAAGGAGAAGAAUCUGCAAGGAAAGCAGUUUCCAUGGAAAAUACUCUUCUUCUUUUUUCUCCCUUUUUUAAAGAGAAAACCUCUCUUUUUUUUUUUCAUGAAAACUGUUCUAAAUAUUUUAGUAAAAAGCUCUGUUUUUGUGUUUAGCAGAAAUUUUUCUAGGAAAACUUCUUAAAGAAAAGGUUACUUCUCCUCUAUGGAUCCAUUCCCACUUAAAUGAACAAAAACAACAAAGAUAUCUCAAGUGGGAUUUACUUAUAAACAGUUCCAAAAAUAUAUAUAUAGAUAUCAGACAGAUCUACUCCUCUCAUUUCCAAGAAAGUAGUUUAAUAGUUCUCAUUGAAACUAAAAUGAAAGAGAUUUAGGGAAUCUCUGGAGAGUCCUAUCCUGGUAACAGUUUAAACCUGGUCUUAUUUGAUCCCAAUUCAAAGGUACUACAAUCAAUCUCUAUUUGAUGAACACACAGUCCGGCAGCAUGUGGGGAGAGUCCUGGCACUGUCAGCUGCAUGAGAGUGAAAGAGAGAGAAAGAGAGAGGUGUCUUCUCCUUAGAAAAAUUGAUGGUACACUAAUGGAUCACUCAUAUUUGUAGUAUUAUUUAACUGCAGUUGCUCCCUAGUGAGAGCAUCAGGUGAUUCAAAAUAAAUAAGCAUGAAAACAAGGACUUGUCUCUGUGAAAAGCUGUGCUCAUGGCAAUCAACCCCAUUCUCAGUCACCUUGACAUGUUAACACAAGCAGCUAAUUAUCCAAAAUAUUUCUGAAAGCCAUUGCUACAUGUGAAUUAAUUAUUGGCCACUGUGAAUUCAUCUAAAAACUCAAUGAAAUCUAAAUCCUGCAGAAGAGAAUGUCAUCUGAUGUUGUCCUUUUUGUCUCAGCCAAAAAAGCAUUUUUAUCAUGCAUGGAGUCUGCGAAAUAAAGACAGAUGAAAAUUCCCACAUCAAUUUGACUUCCUCAGAAACCGUGAUCACAUGGAAGUGCACAGUAAAUAACACAACACACUGCUGGUAGAUCUGCAAUUGUUUAUACCCAUCCACAGUGCAAAAGACACUCAACAUCAUUUCCUCACUGCUGCAGGUGAUGCGCAAUGAUCCAUCCACCUAAUGGGCAGUCAGUCAUCUUGCAGAGGUCUCUGGUGCUGCACUGCACAGUGCCCUUAAGUCUUUGGACAUACUGUAUCCUCGGCGACUCAUAAAAAUAUUAGAGGACAAGAAGCAGUGGUGCUAUUAAUGGAUUGUCGAGAUAUGAAGAAGGAAUUAGAAUCCUAUUUUUCAUGUUAUUUGGAGAAAUGUGUAAGCAUAAAAAUAUGUAAUUAUGAAAAUAACCUAUAUGUCAAGAUUGAAAGGAGUAGAUCCUACUAAGAUUGAUGAAUUUUGGGGGAGAAAGUUGAGGAGAAAAACUUAACGGAGAGGUGUGUCUGUACGUGUAUACGUGCUAACGUGUCAACGCUAUCUCAACCCCUAAAGGUUCUGUCUUUACAGGCGAGAGUAGAGGAUCUACGAUAAGAUCUUAUCCAAUUAUAAAAUGAUCAUAAAAACCUAACAAAAUGUUCUCACUCCACGGUGAAAACAUGUAAAGAUUCAUAGUUAUUGGAUUCAGAUAAGAGGGUCCCUAAGAUUCUCAAUAAUUAUGAUUGAAACUAAUAUCAUCUCAUUAAAUAAUAACCACGGUUAAUUCCAGCAUUUUAGAAAAAAACUAUUUUUGUUGGGGGUGUCCCAAUCAAAUACAAAAACUAAAUCAAAUUAUGGAUUAGUUCAUCUACUAUAGCAAUAAGAAUUUUAAAUGAUAUAAAUGAUUUUACUCUUCUUUGAUUUAGUUAAUUAGUUCGAUCGAACUAGAUUGAAUCAAUUUUAAUUUUAAAAAUGUUGGCUUAAUCGUGUUCAUUGUUAAGACCAUUAACUGGUUCAUAUCAAUUUCAAUAUCAUAAUUUCAUAAGUAAUAUGAGCUCGAUUUGAACACUCCUAAUCUAAUCUCGAUCUCGAUGUUAAUGGAAGACUCAUAAAAUAUUCAAAUUUAAGCUAAGCAAUCCAAUGGAAGCAUGACUUCUGCACCUGUUCUGGAGAUCUCUUAUGAAGAUUAAAAAUAGAUUAGAAAUGCAGAUAAUUAAGCUAAAGUCUCAAACCUUAUUUCCUCUAAUUGUUGAAGCUUUUGGGCCAAAUUGAGCUAUUGUUAUAUUAGGCUUCAGUUGGGUCUCAUGUACACUAUAUUGACCUCGAAAUCUGAACUUGUACACGAUGUGUCUCUUUCUCUGCCUCGAGCAUAUAGAGAUCAGUCUAAAUGAAUAAAGGCUCUGUGAGCUUUUGCUGUUUUCUCUGAGAAUUAGAAACUUUUAACUUAGUAAGUGCUUUAACAGAAUACUUCUAUUGAUUUAUAUGUCUUUUAUAAUUGUUAUAUUUUUAGUUAUUAAUACCUGCUCCAAAUAUUAAAAAAUACAAUCAUAAGGCUUUAAUUAUUUUUUUAUACUGAAUAUAUAUAUUAUUGAUAACAAUAGUAAAAUAAUAAAUUCUAAUUACUUAGGAUCAAAUAUAUAAGAAAUUAUAUGUUUAGUUAAAUCAAAAAUAUUUAAAUUAUUAUUUAUUAUUAUCAUUAACUAGAAUCAUUUUAUACUAUCACAUCUUAACAGUGAGUCCAUAAACUCAUCUUAAAUGGAGGUCUUAGUUUUGAACAAUCCCAAUCCAACAAGGGAAAACAGUGGGAAGUAGAUAUCCCUCCCAUUCAUGCAAAGUUCCCCAGUUUGGGACUCUUUCUUGAGCUUUGACAUUUAUGAAGCUCUAUGCAAUGGGUCCUCAAUCAUUGGAUCUCCUUAAAUUUGAGAAGAACUGACACCAACCACGAACUUCAACUUGUCUAUGCAUAAAAAUAAAAAAAAGGAGGAAAAAACACUUGUAUAUGCAUCCGGGAGAUGAUGCAUAUCUCUGACCUAGCAAUCUCCAACACCAUGAUUGCUACCUGUCACCUGCAUCUUACACACAUCACCGAAAGUGUAGUUAGUUGAUUCACACACUCUCUCUCUCUCUUUCUCUCUCUCUCUCUCUCUCUCUCUCUCUCUAUAUAUAUAUAUAUAUAUAUAUAUCUGCACAAAGAGAUGGCUAUACGUACAGAAAGUGGGCAAAUACUCACCCAAAUUUUGGUUUUAAAUGCAAGUAAUGCAAUGAUAUAUAUAUCUGUGCAUUGCAGAAAAAUAAUCAAACACGAGAUUGUCAUCUUUGACGAUUAUCCUUAGCAGCCCGUCUCUGAGAAUAGCUGCUGCUGCUUCUUCCUCCUCUUCUUCUCCAUCUUUACAUCUGCGAGCUGCAUGGAUAGAGUGCAAUGGUCUCAGGUAAAUGACCCCAAGCGCUAACAUAAGUCUUGCCUCCAUAUUUUUGCUUCGUGGGUUUCAUUAAGCUGGUGUGUGUCUUUUGUUUCUCUUCUCUCUCUCUCUCUCUCUCUCUCUCUCUCUCAUGCUGCGCUGGAGCUUUGUCUUUCAUUGAUCUCUCUCUCCUAGGCAUAAGGUUCUUCAAAGAUUCAAAGGUUCCUUCAAAGAUUCAAAGAUUCCUCUUCUAUUUCCAAGUGUAGGGAUGUGGCUUUAUUGGUGGUCUUGAGGACGACGUAGGGCUGCUGAAGGCCGCGGAGGGCGGCUUGGUUUAUACCACCACCGUCGGUACCAUGGCAGGCAACAGCAUCUGCACCGCCAACAGGCCGCAGCAGGCGGUGGAGAGGAAGGUGAGGCUACACAAGGAGAAGGCUCUCGACUGCCCCAGGUGCAACUCCACCAACACCAAGUUCUGCUACUACAACAACUACAGCCUCACCCAGCCCAGGUACUUCUGCGGAGAUUGCCGGAGGUACUGGACGCAUGGUGGAUCACUCAGGAACGUCCCUGUCGGUGGCGGCUCGAGAAAGAACAAGAACAAGAAGCUAUUCUCCUCCUCCUCCACCUCAUCAACGACCGUCUCUACUUUAAAGAAGUUGACGCCUGCAGGCCUCGUCUCUCCUCCUGUAUCCCUCUCCUCCACCCCCGGAGCCCCAAAGCUCUACGAGGGACAUGACCUCAACCUGGCCUUUCCUCACCACAGCCCCCCUGAACAGCACAAGUUCCGCAGCUCAGAAAGCGGCAGAUCCAGAGACGGAAACAGCAACAGCAUUGAUGGCAGGAACACAUGCACUGCCGUCGUUGCUGACUCCAUAACGGAGCUGCUCAGGAGCGGGAUACCUGCGAGAGGACUGAUUGCGCCAUUCACCCCGACCGUGACGAUGGAGUACCCUUGUGGCCCUGGAUUGCAGGAUCUCGGACCGCCAACGCUGAAUCUAACGUUGGUUGGAUUCAAUGCAAGUGUCGGGGGAGGGAGCAGUAGUGGCCAUGGGAGCUUGCAAGGGUUGCAGAAGUGUUCUUGCGGGAAACUGCUGCACCAUUUGGAGGACUCGAGCGCGAACCUGUGAAGAAAAAGAUUGUGUAUGGAUUACGACAAAACCAAAAAACAAAAGUAACUUCAUGCUUUAAUUUCCUCUUCUAUCUUUGAAUCUUUUGAUGUUGCUUUCUUCUGCAAUGGGUCUGAGAUCUUCCAGCCAUGAGAACAGAGGUAUGACAACACACACACACACACAUCCAAAGGAGUUCUCAUUCGCAUGGCUCCAUACCUGUGCAAGCACAUCUGCAAGUGGGCAGUGCAACCACUUGGAUUAUUACCACCAUAAAAAGUACAUCUCCCUCUUCGCCUCACUUCCUUUUAACCCUUCCACUUCACAGAGGAAACAAAACAAAAAAAGAGGUAGAACCCUCUGCACAUAGUAGCCGCAGGAAGGCAGCAGCACAGGGGGGAAAAGUUUUUUCCUCACCCAAGGAUUCAUGCACUUUUCUCAUAUCCCUCUGUCUUCACCUAACAAAUAGCAGCCAAUCUCUCCUUCCCAUGCAUUUCUCGAUGUAAAUACAUCUUUGAGAAUGCAAGAAGAACACAGUGCCAAAUGAUGAGCUGAGCUAUUUAUUUUGUGCAUCUAUUCCUUGUACCACUACCUCUUCACGUACUGUGCAUCUUUCACGUGCUUUCCUUGUCUUAUUAGGCAACCGAAACUGAGCCUAAACAUUAUUGCAUGUACCUCCGUUGUCCUGAUUACCCAAUGCAAAAGGUAAUGACUCCAAGUGUAGCCGACCUCUCCUUGUUCUUCUCUGCUUGGGUGGUGACAGUACACAGUAAGUCCCACGUUUGGAUAUUGACAAAGAUUUUGAUUAUAUCUAAACAUUUAAGAACGAGGUCUUACCAUUGUGUUGUAUAGUUGGAAUCUUGAUUUCCUGAGUCGCAAAGGAGCCACGGUAUGUUGAACCUGCCCAAGAUUAAAAGAUCUUGAUUUUUCUUGGAAUGAAUGAAGAGGCAAAGCAUGAAGUAACUCAAAGCAUACAUUAUAUUGUCCCGGUUUGUCUGAUAUCGUCACCAUAACAAUGCUUUGACAUCACCAGCAAAGCCAAAUCCAAUAUCAAAAAGACUUUUCCUGCAGCGAAAAGCAACAGAUUAAAUCCUUUUAAAAAGAUCUAUAAUUUCAAACGACACG
rnacentral:lncRNA from 1 species